rnacentral:rRNA from 1 species
GAUGAACGCUGGCGGCGUGCCUAAUACAUGCAAGUCGAGCGAACGGACGAGAAGCUUGCUUCUCUGAUGUUAGCGGCGGACGGGUGAGUAACACGUGUAUAACCUACCUAUAAUACUGGUAUAACUUCGGGAAACCGGAGCUAAUACCGGAUAAUAUUUUGAACCGCAUUGUUCAAAAGUAAAAUACGGUCUUGCUGUCACUUAUAGAUGGAUCUGCGCUGCAUUAGCUAGUUGGUAAGGUAACGGCUUAUCAAGGCAACGAUGCAUAGACGACCUGAGAGGGUGAUAGGCCACACUGGAACUGGGACACGGUCAAGACUCCUACGGGAGGCAGCAGUAGGGAAUCUGCCGCAAUAGGCGAAAGCAUGACGGAGCAACGCCGAGUGAGUGAUGAAGGUCUUCGGAUCGUAAAACUCUGUUAUUAGGGAAGAACAUAUGUGUAAGUAACUGUGGACAUCUUGACGGUAACUAAUCAGAAAGCAACGGCUAACUACGUG